AGACCCCCCCUUAGACAGCGCUUUUAGAAAGCGCUUAUAAAUAUAGACUUUAGACAGCGCUUUUGGUAAAGCGCUGUCUAAAGUCUUUAAAUUAAAAAAAAAAUUAAAACCAAAAGCGCUGUCUAAGGGGGGGUUUAGAAAGCGCUUUUGGAAAGCGCUGUCUACGGCAUACCUUAGAAAGCGCUUUCCACAAAAGCGCUGUCUAAGGUCUAAUUAAAAUAAAAUUUCAGACUCCAUUUCAAUUU
rnacentral:lncRNA from 1 species